rnacentral:rRNA from 1 species
UACGUAGGUCCCGAGCGUUGUCCGGAUUUAUUGUGCGUAAAGCGAGCGCAGGUGGUUUAUUAAGUCUGGUGUAAAAGGCAGUGGCUCAACCAUUGUAUGCAUUGGAAACUGGUAGACUUGAGUGCAGGAGAGGAGAGUGGAAUUCCAUAUGUAGCGGUGAAAUGCGUAGAUAUAUGGAGGAACACCGGUGGCGAAAGCGGCUCUCUGGCCUGUAACUGACACUGAGGCUCGAAAGCGUGGGGAGCAAACAGG